rnacentral:lncRNA from 1 species
AAGCCAUCUCUGUAAGCCAGCGCCAUAAAACAGCAUUUAAAGGCUAUCAAGUCCAUUUCGUGGCUGUGAGUCUCGACUGUUGUGCAGUGAAGUAGACGUCCUUAUUAUCUGAGUGCCAGUUAAAUGCUGCCAGCCUAAUGUGUGCAUGGGAGAAUUGCUUUUUUGUGACUGGGGUGCUUAUUUUACUGCUCGCACGUCAGCUAGGCACUGGCCUUCAUCCAGACCACAUCUGCAAACUGAAGAAUAGCGAAGGCCCUUGGUUCCAGAAGCGUGUGGUGGUGGCUAACAGCCUUUAGACCUAUCUGAACAGCUCUGUUAGCCCCCGGUGGCAGGAACUUCACUUCUUCAACUAGAAAUGUGCUAUGGAAACUCUGGAAACGAUGACAGUGACGUUAAAAAGAAGACCCAUUUACAGUCAAAGCUCUUUCCACAUUAUGCCACUGGCUGCUAUGUUCACAACACGGCCAUCCUGCAAAGUAUUGUUGAGGGUAGCCAUGCCUUUCUUCUUGAGAAUCUCUUUUCUCUUUGCCUUUUCUGCCGAAGUGGGAAAGGUGGCAGAAAUAACUUCACCAGAUUGUAAAAGUAAUAUAAGGAAAAGCAGUAAGAGAAAAGAGGGCCAAAGCAGUUGCUCUUUCUGGCAAGGAAGAGGUAAGCUGUGGUUAUGUGGUGGUGCAGACAUUUUUAAUCUACUUCCACUCAUAUCCUUUAUCGCAGAGGAAUAUCAGGUGAAAAUGCAUGAGCCAGCUGUACCCGUGCCAGCUUGUGUCCAGAAGCCUCACUGGCUUGAUGAAAGGAAUGGGUGGAGUGAUUUUCCAGUUUGUGUUGAGGGAACACCACCCCAUUAUGAAGCCUUCCCAGAAAAUGAAUGUCUAAUCUUCUUAUGACUCUUCUAAGGAAAAAAUAAUUUCAGCCUGAAGAACCUGUUAUUAACUCUAUGCAAGUCAGAGAUUUCCUACAGAAAACAAUGGCUGAAGAUUUCUUGUGCACACACUGGAGAAAUUGGUUAUCAUCUGGAGGAUGGAACGUGAGAUCCAUUGAUCUGUUUUUCAGCUCUUUGGGCUAUAAUUUCUUCUUACCAACAAACUGUAAUUCUCAAAUGGUUGAAGAAUAUAAAACAGUUAAGAGUCUGAUUCUGGAAAAUACCUGAGUACCUAUGGACCUCUCUUUGAAAACAACUGACUUCAAAGAAGUGCUGUUCCAAAUAGGG